rnacentral:rRNA from 1 species
UACGUAGGUGGCGAGCGUUGUCCGGAAUUAUUGGGCGUAAAGGGCGCGUAGGCGGUUUCUUAAGUCAGGUGUGAAAGCCCCCGGCUCAACUGGGGAGUUGCACUUGAUACUGGGAGACUAGAGUGCAGGAGAGGAAAGUGGAAUUCCGUGUGUAGCGGUGAAAUGCGUAGAUAUACGGAGGAACACCAGUGGCGAAGGCGGCUUUCUGGACUGCAACUGACGCUGAGGCGCGAAAGCUGGGGGAG